rnacentral:rRNA from 1 species
UACGGGGGGGGCAAGCGUUGUUCGGAAUUACUGGGCGUAAAGGGCUCGUAGGCGGCUAACUAAGUCAUACGUAAAAUCCCUCGGCUUAACCGGGGAACUGCGUCUGAUACUGGAUGGCUUGAGUUCGGGAGAGGGAUGCGGAAUUCCAGGUGUAGCGGUGAAAUGCGUAGAUAUCGUGAGGAAGACCAGUGGCGAAGGCGGGUCUCUGGACAGUUCCUGACACUGAGGCACGAAGGCCAGGGGAGCAAACGGG